AGUGGGAUAGCUGGGUCAAAUGGUGAUUCCAUUCCCAGUUUUCUGAGAAAUCUCCAUUCUGCUUUCCAGAUUAGCUGCACCAUUUUGCAGAUCCAGCAGCAAU
rnacentral:pre_miRNA from 1 species